UUUGGAAUAUGAAACAUUUUG
ensembl:piRNA 21ur-13941 ncRNA